rnacentral:rRNA from 1 species
UACGUAGGGUGCAAACGUUAAUCGGAAUUACUGGGCGUAAAGCGUGCGCAGGCGGUUAUAUAAGUCAGAUGUGAAAUCCCCGGGCUCAACCUGGGAACGGCAUUUGAGACUGUAUGGCUAGAGUGUGUCAGAGGGGGGUAGAAUUCCACGUGUAGCAGUGAAAUGCGUAGAGAUGUGGAGGAAUACCGAUGGCGAAGGCAGCCCCCUGGGUCAACACUGACGCUCAUGCACGAAAGCGUGGGGAGCAAACAGG